CGUCAAAUCAUCAUGCCCUAUAUGUCCUGGGCAACACACGUACUACAAUGGCUGUAACAGAGGGAAGCGAAGUUGUGAAAUGGAGCAAAUCCCAAAAAAGCAGUCUUAGUUCGGAUUGUAGGCUGAAAUUCGCCUACAUGAAGUUGGAAUUGCUAGUAAUUGCAGGUCAGCAUACUGCAGUGAAUACGUUCCCGGGCCUU
rnacentral:rRNA from 1 species